rnacentral:rRNA from 1 species
CAGAGGUUCGAAGGCGAUCAGAUACCGCCCUAGUUCUGACCGUAAACGAUGCCACCUGAGAACAGACAGGGUUACUACCAUGACUCGGCGGGCAGUCCCCGGGAAACCCAAGCCUUCGGGUUCCGGGGGAAGUAUGGUUGCAAAGCUGAAACUUAAAGGAAUUGACGGAAGGGCACCACCAGGAGUGGAGCCUGCGGCUUAAUUUGACUCAACACGGGGAACCUCACCCGGCCCGGACACCGCGAGGAUUGACAGAUUGAGAGCUCUUUCUCGAUUCGGUGGGUGGUGGUGCAUGGCCGUUCUUAGUUGGUGGAGCGAUUUGUCUGGUUAAUUCCGAUAACGAACGAGACUCUAGCCGGUUAAGUAGCCCGAGCGGUUUUUGAUCUUUGCCGUUCAUCCCCGUUCGACCUUU